CGGAGAGGGAGCCUGAGAAACGGCUACCACUUCUAAGGAAGGCAGCAGGCGCGCAAAUUACCCAAUCCUGACUCAGGGAGGUAGUGACAAGAAAUAACAAUAAACCGGCUUAUGCCGGUUUAAUUGGAAUGAGUACAAUUUAAACAUCUUAACGAGGAACAAUUGGAGGGCAAGUCUGGUGCCAGCAGCCGCGGUAAUUCCAGCUCCAAUAGCGUAUACUAAGUUGUUGCAGUUAAAAAGCUCGUAGUUGGAUUUCUGCGGGGACGGAGCGGCCGGACGCAACUUGCGUCUCGAGCUAGCGCUUUCCCCGCAUCCUGCCGCGAACCGUGCUACCAUUAGUUUGGUGGCGCUGGGGAUCGGCUCGAUUACUUUGAGAAAAAUAGAGUGUUCAAAGCAGGCCACACGCCUUGAAUAAGUUAGUAUGGAAUAAUGACUAAGGACUUUGGUUCUUUUCGUUGGUGUUCGGGACUGAAGUAAUGAUUGAUAGGGACAGUUGGGGCGGUCCGUAUUCCAAAGCGAGAGGUGAAAUUCUUAGACCUUCGGAAGACGAACAGCUGCGAAAGCGUUCCGCAAGGAUGUUCCCUUUGAUCAAGAACGAAAGUUGGGGGAUCGAAGACGAUCAGAUACCGUCGUAGUCUCAACUAUAAACUAUACCAGCUAGGGAUCGGCCAACGUUUAAUUAUUCGACUUGGUCGGCACCUUAUGAGAAAUCAAAGCAUCUGGGUUCCGGGGGGAGUAUGGUCGCAAGGCUGAAACUUAAAGGAAUUGACGGAAGGGCACCACCAGGCGUGGAGCCUGUGGCUUAAUUUGACUCAACACGGGAAAACUUACCAGGUCCAGACAUAGGAAGGAUUGACAGAUUGAUAGCUCUUUCUUGAUUCUGUGGGUGGUGGUGCAUGGCCGUUUUUAGUCGGUGAAGUGAUUUGUCUGCUUAAUUGCGUUAACGGACGAGACCCCAGCCUGCUAAAUAGCGCGGCCGAGCUUUGCUCGGUACGAGCUUCUUAGAGGGACCAUGAUGCGCGAUAGCACAAGGAAGUUUGGGGCAACAACAGGUCUGUGAUGCCCUUAGAUGUUCUGGGCCGCACACGGGCUACACUGGCGCCUGCAACGAGCAUAUCAGCUGGCCCGAGAGGGUCUUGGCUAAUCUUUGGAACCGGCGCCGUGCUUGGGAUUGACCAUUGCAAUUGUUGGUCAUGCAACGAGGAAUGCCUUGUAAACGCGAGUCAUCAGCUCGCAUUGAAUACGUCCCUGCCCUUUGUACACACCGCCCGUCGCUCCUACCGAUGAAUGUUCCGAUGAAAUUUUCGGAGAGCGCCGGAGAACGGGGCUCUGCCCUGCAGAACUGGAGGCUCAAAGUCACUUAAAUCUGAACAUUUCGAGGAAGGAGAAGUCGUAACAAGGUAACC
rnacentral:rRNA from 1 species